ACGUUUGAAGCGUGGAAUUUACUUGAAGAUGCUGAAAAAAUCAUGGCACGAUAGAUAUGUAACGUGCCACGAUGAUUGAAUAAAUAUACUGCCACAUAUGAAUUAAUUGGAUGAGCCACGUGAACAAUUGUUUUGCUUUUGGGUGGUGUGAAUAAUAAAAAGAUUACGAUCAAAACACAAAAACAUUGUUCACGUGGCUCAACCAAUUUAUUCAAACGUGGCCGUAAAUUUAUUCAAUCAUUGGGGCACAUUACUCAUCCAACGUGCCAUGAAUUUUGAAGCAUCUUAAAUAAAUUCAACGCAUGAAACGUG
rnacentral:pre_miRNA from 1 species